CCUACGGGAGGCUGCAGUGAGGAAUAUUGGUCAAUGGCCGAGAGGCUGAACCAGCCAAGUCGCGUGAGUGAAGACGGCCCUACGGGUUGUAAACCUCUUUUGUCGGGGAGCAAAUCGAUUCACGUGUGACUCUUUGCUGGUACCCGAAGAAAAAGCAUCGGCUAACCCCGUUCCAGCAGCCGCGGUACUACGGAGGAUGCGAGCGUUUUCCGGAUUUGUUGGUUUUAAAGGGUGCGCAGGCGGAGGUGCAAGUCAGCGGUAAAAUUGCGGGGCUCAACCCCGUACUGCCGUUGAAACUGCAUCCCUUGAGUGCGCGAGAAGUAUGCGGAAUGCGUGGUGUAGCGGUGAAAUGCAUAGAUAUCACGCAGAACUCCGAUUGCGAAGGCAGCAUACCGGCGCGCAACUGACGCUCAUGCACGAAAGCGUGGGUAUCGAACAGGAUUAGAUACCCCUGUAGUC
rnacentral:rRNA from 1 species